AGAGUUUGAUCAUGGCUCAAAAUCAACGCUGGCGGCGUGCCUAACACAUGCAAGUCGAGCGCGAAAGUGGACUUCGGUCCGCGAGUAGAGCGGCGAACGGGUGAGUAACGCGUGGGUGAUCUGCCUUCGAGUGGGGAAUAACACUGGGAAACUGGUGCUAAUACCGCAUGACAUCUUCGGUUCGUUCCGGAGAUCAAAGCUGGGGACCGUAAGGCCUGGCGCUUGAAGAGGAGCCCGCGUCCGAUUAGCUAGUUGGCGGGGUAAUGGCCCACCAAGGCUUCUAUCGGUAGCCGGCCUGAGAGGGCGGACGGCCACACUGGGACUGAGACACGGCCCAGACUCCUACGGGAGGCAGCAGUGGGGAAUUUUUCGCAAUGGGGGAAACCCUGACGAAGCAACGCCGCGUGGAGGAUGAAGGCCCUCGGGUCGUAAACUCCUGUCGAUCGGGAAGAAUGCACACGGCCCAAUAAGUCGCUGUGUUGACUGUACCGGUGGAGGAAGCCACGGCUAACUCUGUGCCAGCAGCCGCGGUAAGACAGAGGUGGCAAGCGUUGUUCGGAAUUACUGGGCGUAAAGCGCGCGCAGGCGGUUCGUCAAGUCCCGUGUGAAAUCCCCCGGCUCAACUGGGGAACUGCGCGGGAAACUAGCAAGCUUGAGUUCGGGAGAG
rnacentral:rRNA from 1 species